AAGAAAGUGGCAGAAUGGUUAAUGCGGUUGGCUUGAAACCAAUUUACGGGGGUUCAAUUCCUUCCUUUCUCG
ensembl:Mt_tRNA